rnacentral:rRNA from 1 species
UACGUAGGGACCAAGCGUUGUUCGGAUUCAUUGGGCGUAAAGGGUGCGUAGGCGGCGCGGUAAGUCGGGUGUGAAAUCUUGGAGCUUAACUCCGAAACUGCAUUCGAUACUGCCGUGCUUGAGGACUGGAGAGGAGACUGGAAUUUACGGUGUAGCGGUGAAAUGCGUAGAUAUCGUAAGGAAGACCAGUGGCGAAGGCGGGUCUCUGGACAGUUCCUGACGCUGAGGCACGAAGGUCAGGGGAGCAAACGGG